UCCAAAAAGGUGGGAACAAGGUCGAAGAAAUACAAGCUUACAUUCAAAAUUGGAUGUUUGACUCAAAUAAAAAAGUUUACUUGGCCCCUUAUUUUUCUGAUGCUCAUUGGCAACUUUUAGUUAUUUGUCCUAUGGACAACAUAGCUGUAUGCAUUUGCUCGUUGCAUAAACCUCCUCCUAUGGAUUUUAGACAAUUAUUAGAUAGGGCCAUGGAAGGAUAUCAUAUACUUAAGGGUUCAAAGUUGAAGAAAAAAAUGAGUUGGGUCUCUCCUAAAUCUUAUAAACAAAAAGGAAAUUAUGAGUGCGGAUACUAUGUAAUGAAGACAAUGCAUACUAUUUUCGAUUCACAAAUAGUAUAUGGGUGGGCUGAAGUAAGUUUUACAAUUUUGAAAGUUUUUGUUUUAAGUUCUCAUUCUAUAUAUU